rnacentral:rRNA from 1 species
CAGCAGCCACGGUAAUACGGAGGGGGCUAGCGUUGUUCGGAAUUACUGGGCGUAAAGCGCACGUAGGCGGCUUGGUAAGUUAGAGGUGAAAGCCUGGAGCUCAACUCCAGAAUUGCCUUUAAGACUGCCUCGCUUGAACGUCGGAGAGGUGAGUGGAAUUCCGAGUGUAGAGGUGAAAUUCGUAGAUAUUCGGAAGAACACCAGUGGCGAAGGCGGCUCACUGGACGACUGUUGACGCUGAGGUGCGAAAGCGUGGGGAGCAAACAGGAUUAGAUACCCCAGUAGUCCCUGUCUCUUAUAC